GUCGCUACCGUCGGUCCCGCUCUACUGCCAUCAUCACAGGCAUCGUCGGGCGCGGGAAAACGCGGGCGGCUCGUGCACGAAACGAACAAAACCGGGCAGCACGGGAGCUGAUGGUCUCUCUCUUGACUGGUCUGGUCCAUCGUCAUGUCUGCCAGGGAUUACGACUUUCAUUAAAAUCCAGUUGCUGGACCUCUCUGUGUCGUCGUUUCGGGGGAAGGAAUGCAUCAACUGGUGGCAGCGGUGCACGGCGGACCUCAUGUGCUUCGAGUAUGUAAAGUGUUCACAACCCCAACUACAUUUGGAGGCUUCAUACAUGAAUUCCCUUCUGGUCAUCGAACAAACGUCAUCGAUUGGCCACUGUCCAAGCCGCCACCUUCAGGCCCUGGACCUUACUGCGCCAUUGGAUAAAACAUCGCCACCAUCAAGCCACUCCAGAGUCACGGCAGCAAGCCGUCACAACUCCUUGGCUUCCUCUUCAUCGGCGGGGAAAGUUGUCACGACUGUGUCGCUACCGUCGGUCCCGCUCUACUGCCAUCAUCACAGGCAUCGUCGGGCGCGGGAAAACGCGGGCGGCUCGUGCACGAAACGAACAAAACCGGGCAGCACGGGAGCUGAUGGUCUCUCUCUUGACUGGUCUGGUCCAUCGUCAUGUCUGCCAGGGAUUACGACUUUCAUUAAAAUCCAGUUGCUGGA